rnacentral:rRNA from 1 species
UACGUAGGGGGCAAGCGUUGUCCGGAAUUAUUGGGCGUAAAGAGCGUGUAGGCGGUCCCGAAAGUCUGAUGUGAAAACUUGAGGCUCAACCUCAAGCUGUCAUUGGAUACUGCGGGACUUGAGUCUGGAAGAGGAGAGUGGAAUUCCUGGUGUAGCGGUGGAAUGCGCAGAUAUCAGGAGGAACACCUAUUGCGAAGGCAGCUCGCUGGGACGUAACUGACGCUGAGACGCGAAAGCGUGGGGAGCAAACAGG